CUUCAUGACAACAGAAGCCACAGAAAUCCUCCUCAUCAAAAACAUGACUUUGAUCUCCGUCCUCAUCUGGACUCUCCUCUGCUGCUGCUUCACAGAGUCCAGAGGUCAGGUCACAGUGACUCAACCUGGAGCAGUGAGCUCUGCUGUGGGAAACUCCGUCACCAUCACAUGUCAGACCAGUCAAGAUGUUUAUGGCUCUAACCGUUUAGCCUGGUACCAACAGAGAGAUGGAGAAACUCCUAAACUGCUCAUAUACUAUGCCAGCACUCGAGCAUCAGGGAUUCCAGAUCGUUUUACAGGCAGUGGAUCAAACUCUGACUUCACUCUGACCAUCAGUGGAGUCCAGACUGAAGAUGCAGCAGUUUACUACUGUCAGAGUUUUCAUUACAUCAACAGUCAGUACGUGUUCACACAGUGAAAAAGCGUCGUACAAAAACCUCCCUCAGUCAGACUGAACAGAAACUGGACUGACUGCUGCAGCUGGAAGCUACUGCAGAGACUGAUACACUUCACUGAGGACACACACACACACAGACACACACACACACACUGUACACACACAGACACACACACACACACACACACACACACACACACACACACACACAAAGCAGUGGCGGCUGCUGGUCUUUCAAACAGGGGAAGCUCACUUUCAGUUUACAUCAUAAAAGUUGUCAUAUUGUAGCGAGGCAGUAACUUAUAAAAGGAACAUUUAAUUGAAGCUGUUUUUCAACCACACACAUGCCAUAGAACCACAGCAAAACACACCUCAAGGAUUUUCAGAUGGGUUUAAACACCGGAACUGUGUACAAAUGGUGAAAAAUCGCUUAUGGAAAUAAGGAACUCCAGAUGGCACUCUGUCAGAAGACUCCACUCGCAAAUAUCCGCAUGAGACUGAGUUCGAAAUGUGAAGCGCUGUCAGUCACAAAGGGGUUCAACCUUUUCGACAAUUCCUCAUCAUCAUGCAUACACCGAGCGUCCUCUCCUGCCCACCGCUCCAUUAGGUCCCACGGAAGUUAAAGGGAAAUUUCAGUUUAUUUCAACCUGUCUCCUAUCAUCCUAAAUUUGUUUCAAGUGACUAGUGACAUAAAAAUAAUAGUUAGCAUG